rnacentral:rRNA from 1 species
UACGAGGGGGGCGAGCGUUGUUCGGAAUUAUUGGGCGUAAAGAGCGUGUAGGCGGCCAUACAGGUCAGCUGUGAAAACUCGAGGCUCAACCUCGAGACGUCGGUUGAAACCGUAUGGCUAGAGUCCGGAAGAGGAGAGUGGAAUUCCCGGUGUAGCGGUGAAAUGCGCAGAUAUCGGGAAGAACACCCGUGGCGAAGGCGGCUCUCUGGGACGGUACUGACGCUGAGACGCGAAAGCGUGGGGAGCGAACAGG